rnacentral:rRNA from 1 species
CACGUAGGGUGCGAGCGUUGUCCGGAAUUAUUGGGCGUAAAGAGCUCGUAGGCGGUGUGUCGCGUCGGCCGUGAAAACCUGGGGCUUAACUCUGGGCUUGCGGUCGAUACGGGCAUCGCUGGAGUUCGGCAGGGGAGACUGGAAUUCCUGGUGUAGCGGUGAAAUGCGCAGAUAUCAGGAGGAACACCGGUGGCGAAGGCGGGUCUCUGGGCCGAUACUGACGCUGAGGAGCGAAAGCGUGGGGAGCGAACAGG